UUUUCCCUCUCCCCUCCUGGUUUUCCUCUCGAUUGUCCUCUCCCUCUCUCGAUUUCCUUUUUCCUCUCUCCCUCUCGAUCAAAAUCGGUUUGUCUCCUCCGACGAUCUCUCUCUCUCUCUCUCUCUCUCUCUCUCUCUCUCUCUCUCUCUGUCUCUCUCUCUCUCUAUGAAGCACUCUAGGAUGCCAUUGCAGCCCUUUGCAACCCAGAUCCAGUGAGACGACAACUGGUGAUGAAGCCAACCUUCCAACUUUUUGAUUUAUGCAUAUUUAAUCAUCUUCUGUUUGCAUUUUUGUUUUGGGAUUUUUUUAUUUGUGGGUUUUCAGAGAUUAGAGAUGGUUUCCAGCAAAUGCACAGCCCUUAUCAAGUAAGGGGUUUCCGAAGAUUGGAGAUGGUUGGCUGGAGAAGCAGCGCUAAGGGUUUCGGAUUUGCUGCUGGACGUGGGUUUGGAGCUUGCGACUAGAGGUCUGUAAGAAUGUGGAAGGCCAGAGAUAUUCCAAGCGGUUAAACGAGAGACAUUUCCAGAUUGCAGGUUGGCUUCCUACAGUUUAUGGGAGAUUCUCAAGUUGCCCCACAUCAUCAUCAUCAACAAUAGACAACAACUUGAGGACAUUACAUGUUCUCAAUCUAAGUCCCUCUGUGAUCUCAAUCCGAACUCCCUUGCGAAUUCUGAGGCUGCUCCAUGUUCCGUGAGAACAAGUGGGAGUACAACCGAAGAGUGUGUGAGAUAGUGGAGCAGAGCUGGAUAGCAAACUAAUAGGUGCAAUCCCCAUCCAUCCAUCUUUUAUUUUCUCUGCUCAAAUAAAUGAUAGAAGACAAUGGAGGGAUUUGGAGUGGAGGGAUUCUAUAUACCGAUUUUAAUGGAUAUGACAUGUAUGAAUUGUUGUUGGAUGACUUGGUACUUUGUUUCUUCUCAAAGUUGGUGCUCAUGUAAUAUUAUAUGCCAUGUAUCUCUUACUUUGUUUGGUGUGAAUAAAAAGGGACUAGCUGAUAGCAUGCAGGAACUUCAAGCACAGAAUGUCUGUUAAAGAAUACUUUGCGUAAUUUGCAGAUAUUUGUCUUGUUUCAUCA